GCAAAGGCUUGAUUUCUGGCCUUUUCCCAUGGAGAGCAGCUUCAACCCAACUCCACAGAGAACCCAGGAGUGAAAGUUGGGUACCUCAGAGUUUGUCUACAUUUGAGUUUCAUUCCAGGCCAACAAAGUGAUGUUGGAGAGGAGGCAUUCUGAAAUCCCCAGCAAGUCCAGAUGGGUAACCUGGGCUGUUCAGGACCAGUUACAGGCACAGAGGCAGCACAUGCAAAACGAGCCCGAACACCAGUGCCAGCCCUUCCACUAGAGCUGCAGGGGUGCCUUUAUUUUAUCUUCUCAUUUUUCCUCUUCUGAAAAAAUCUCUGCUGCUUUAUCUGAGAGGUGUUUUCCAGAAGCUGAAGGUUGAUGCUGAACUGCUGAAGCUGGAGGAGCCAGAUGACAAAGAGCAUGGUGAGGAGGAGUAUCAGGCUAUGACACACGUUAUUUUGGAAAAACUUUUCAUAUGAUUAUUUAUUUUUCUAAUCCACCAUUUUUGGAAUGAGCUGAGAUUAGCCCAACUAAUAUUAACAUCAGUUCUAGGCUUGAAUCCAAACAGACUUUUCAAGAUCUCUAAAUUCCUUCAGAGAUGCUUAGAGGGAUAGAAUGCAGCUGAAUCACAGUCUCCCAACCAGAUCUUCCUUACCCGUGAGAACUACGGUCAAAGGAGGACUUAUCCAAGGAACUGCAAAGACUUUUUGAUCCAGACAUCAGUUUAUCUAGGCACUCACCACUGAUGGUCCAAGUCCAUCCACUUGGUCCUGAGAAAACCUUCUCAAAGUGCCUGGGAGAAAAUCCAUGGUUUCACUGAGACACCAAUGAGUAUGAAUAAUAGAGAAGACCAGACCUUGGCUGACACUUUGAGAAUCUCUGAUAGAAUUGAUUCCCCCUCUCAGCUGGCACCAUCCAGGAAGAACCACAUGACCAGCUUGCCUGCUUGAUCUGAGCAGCACUGAUUGAAAGAGAAAACUACUGUUUUGUGAAUGAUCAACCUCACUCAAAGUUGACAUUUUUAACAUUGAAGUUGUGCCCCUCCCCGGUCUCCCUCUGAUGCCACUGAAGUUGUGAAAGCUGAGGCUGGACUGUACUGCGGCCAUCUCGGCUCACUGCAACCUCCCUGCCUGAUUCUCCUGCCUCAGCCUGCAGAGUGCCUGGGAUUGCAGGCGCGCGCCACCACACCUGACUGGUUUUUGCAUUUUUUGGUGGAGACGGGGUUUCGCCAUGUUGGCCGGGCUGGUCUCCAGCUCCUGACCGCAAGUGAUCUGCCUGCCUCUGCCUCCCGAGGUGCCGGGAUUGCAGACGGAGUCUCACUCACUCAGUGCUCAAUGUUGCCUAGGCUGGAGUGCAGUGGCGUGAUCUCGGCUCGCUACAACCUCCACCUCCCAGCCGCCUGCCUUGGCCUCCCAAAGUGUCGAGAUUGCAGCCUCUGCCUGGCUGCCACCCCGUCUGGGAAGUGAGGAGUGUCUCUGCCUGGCCGCCCAGUCUGGGAAGUGAGGAGCCCCUCUGACAGGCCGCCCAGUCUGGGAAGUGAGGGGCGCCUCUUCCCGGCCGCCAUCCAGUCUAGGAAGUGAGGAGUGUCUCUGCCCCGCCGCCCAUCGUCUGAGAUGUGGGGAGUACCUCUGCCCCACCGCCCCAUCUGGGAUGUGAGGAGUGCCUCUGCCCGGCCACGACCCCAUCUGGGAACUGAGGAGUGUCUCUGCCUGACCGCCACCCCAUCUGGGAGCUGAAUAAUCUGGAGAUGGUGCUGGCAAAAGUCAGUAGAGACAGAGAGAGCUCAAAGCUCCCAGGAGCAUCCUGAUUCUGGCAGAAGCAGGAGCAGAGAGUUUAGAAUCAUGAGAUCAUCAUAAACCCCCUUCUUGGAAGAUCUCAGGACCUCAGACCACAGAAAUUACCCUCCACUUCAGUUUUGCCAUCCAUCAUACUAAGGCAGAAACACAUCUCACCUUCCUGCUACUCAAGAAUUGGCAAAUAAAGGCAAAAUCUCGCCCCUCUCUGAGAUUCUCAAAGAACAGUGUUUGACUCUGUUCAGUGGGGUUUUCCAGGGCCAAAAAUGCCUGUGGGAUUGAUUUUGGAGUCCCAGCAACCCUCAUCUCUUAGUCCUUAUAUUGCAUGCAGGUCCACAGGAAGAGAGGGUUGGCACUCAAAGGAUCACAGUUUCUAUCCCACGUCAUCACUCUUACUGACCACUCUGGCUCUGGGGAUGCUGCAUCUCUCUGAAAUCCACCCAGUUGCGGGAAAUACUGAGAGUUUAGGCCUACUUCCCAUUAUCUGAAUAAAAUAGAUAACAUCGUUUUUUCUUUUCCAAGAAAAUGGAAAUCAAGCCCACUGUUUUGUGUUAUCAGUUUAACCGCUGAGUUGAGGUGUCACCAGCAAGUACUGAGCUUUAACUGUUUCCAAAUGGGGCUUCUGAGAGGCACUGAGUUGGCAUCUACCAAGGACUUGGUCUACACAUAGAGGGAAGACAGAGACCAGGAAACACUCAUCUUUCUGCAAUUCAACUCUGGGCUCCAUCUUGAAGGAAAUGAAUGCAUGAAGAACAUUCUUAACCUAGUAUGUCUACGGCCAUACCACCCUAGGCGUGCCCAAUCUCGUCUGAACCCAGUACGUGACAUGCCCUAUGCUGAUGCUUUCAUAUGCGUUACCUUAUUUAAUCCUCAUGACUUCCACAUUAAUAAUAAUUACCUAUGAUGUGAGAGGGUCAUUAUACCAAUUUUAUGAAGAAAAUAUGGCUCAAAGAAAUAAUUUUUAAGUAGCAACACCAACAUUUGGAAUCUUCUUGAAACUUCUAACUCCUAGAAGACCACCAUGCUGUAUUUUUGGUCUACAAAUUUAAAUGGAAUAGUAUCUAAUGUUGGGGAAAACGGGAGGAAUGAAGGGUGACUGCUAAAGAGUACAGGAUUUCUUUUAGUGGUGAUGAAAAUGUUCUAAAAUUGACAGUGAUGACCAUUGCUCAACUCCAUGAGGACUCUAAAAUUCAUUGAAUUGUAUAUUUUAAAUGGGUGAAUUGUAUGGCAUGUGAGUUAUAACCACACAGAGCUGUUACAAAUAAGUAAUAUUUAAUGGAGGCCUCUUCCCACCCUACUCUACAACAGUCACAAAAACCUCUCAAUUUUCCCAUAUAUCCUGAAGUAGAAGGGCUUGCCUUUUAUCUCUUUGUAAUUUUAUGUAGUGGACAAUAAACAAAUGGCUGAUUGUAAUGAUGAAAAAGAUCCAAAUUUCUCCAGUAAAGUUGGGGGAGAAAUGCCCAGUUACAAGCAGCUGAAUGGAGGUCAGAGAGAACCAUAAUCCCAGAUAAAAAAUAAGCAGGCAAAAUUUUCUGUAGCACAAUCCCUCUCUCAUUUCAAGAAUCUGCCCACACGCUCCUCACACCUCCUCCUCUCCUGUCACUACCACCAUGAUCUUGUGGUUACACAAUUUCAUUCAGAGUCAAAAUUAGAAAUUAACUAAAGAAGCUAUGGUAUGGUAUUUUAUUCUAAGAUGUCAUCUCUUUUCAAAUGAAUCAUCAAUUUAAUAACAGUUUUCCAAGUGUUAAAAAUGUGGGGUAAAAAUGCAUUUUAGAAUCAAAGAAAUGUACUAAUCCCUAUGAAGAUGGUAAUCCAAUUAAAGUGUAAUUUCUCCAUAUUUGAAGACAUUUUCAGUGCAUGAAAAUGCUUUUUAGAAUCAGAGGGCUAAUGAAUGUUUAAUGAUGUAAAUCUAUGCCUGACACAAUAGAAGAACGACUGGUGUUUAUUGUUUAGGAUGGAGGGGGCCGCUUCCCAGAAUCUAUCGAAUGCCCAAAGCCUGUGCCCUCCCCAUUCAUUUUUCUGGGCUGAACCCUCACUCUCAUUUUCAAGGUUAACAGGGGAAGUAGA
rnacentral:lncRNA from 1 species